rnacentral:rRNA from 1 species
GACGAACGCUGGCGGCGUGCCUAAUACAUGCAAGUAGGACGCAGUUGCGAACGGGUGAGUAACGCGUAGGUAACUACCUAUUAGAGGGGGAUAACUAUUGGAAACGAUAGCUAAUACCGCAUACUAGUAGAUGGACCUGCGUUGUAUUAGCUAGUAGGUAGGGUAAUGGCCUACCUAGGCAACGAUACAUAGCCGACCUAAGAGGGCGAUCAGCCAAACUGGGACUGGGAGACGGCCCAGACUCCUACGGGAGGCAGCAGUAGGGACUCUUCGGAAAUGGGGAGAACCCUGAACGAGCAACGCAGCGUGAGUGAAGACGGGUUUCAGAGCGUACAGCUCUGUUGUUAAAGAAGGGGUACUUGACCAGAAAGGGACGGCUAACUACGUGCCAGCAGCCGCGGUAAUAC